rnacentral:rRNA from 1 species
AUGAGGGAGAAGGUUCUGGAAGAGAUAAAGGCUGUCUCUAUGGCAACAAGGGAGAAAGAGCUGACAGAAACUCUUGAUUUCUUCAUGGAGCACGUGAAAAAGCAUGCAGCUGUGGCGGCAGCGUUCCCAGUGGAGAUCCCAACUACACCUAGAACAACGUCGGCAACAGCUGCUUCUUCAAGGGAAGCAACUCAUGCCAUGAUGGUUGUGGUUGUUGGUAACCAAAAAACCUUUGGAGUGGGUCCAGCCCUAAACACAUGUCCAGAUGGCACAAAUGAAGAGAAGCCUGAUAUUGGAGAGGUGGGGCGAUCUACUGCUCGGGCUGCUAUGCCAGACGCCCAUGCAAGUGAUGAUCUAGAAGACAAACCAUUGAUUAUUGAUCGCAAGGGCAAGGGGAAGGCGAUUGAAUAUCCAGUUGGGGCACCAUGA